rnacentral:lncRNA from 1 species
UAUUAGGAAAUCUCUAAUUCUAUUAAGUUCAAAUCAAUACUGAAAACUAGAACAACUUUGUUUCUAGCUCCAUUUCACCUUUCAGGGUCACCAGCUUCAAGGCAACCAGUGAGCGCUUGUCCUCCCCUGCACACAUAAUGACUUUUGGCACGUAAGUGGAAGGAACUUGCCCUGUCUUGGAUGAGACUUUGGACUGUGGACUUCUGAGUUAAUGCUGAAAUGUGUUAAGACUUUGGGAGACUCUUGGGAAGGCAUGAUUUGUUUUGAAAUGUGAAGACAUUAGAUUUGGGAGGAGCCAUGGGUGGAAUAAUACGAUUUGGCUGUUCCUCCCAAAUCUCACCUUGAAUUCUGACAUGUUGUGGGAGGGACCUGGUGGGAGGUGAUUUAAUCAUGAGGCAGGUCUUUCCCAUGCUGGUCUCAUGAUAGUGAAUAAGUCUUACGAGACUGAUGAUGGUUUUAAAAUGGGGAGUUUCCCUGCACAAGCUCUAUUCUCUUGUCUGCCGCCAUGUCAGACAGGCCUUUUACCUUCUGCCAUGAGUAAGAGGCCUCCCCAGCCACGUUGAAUUGUAAGUCUGAUAAACCUCUUUCUUUUGUAAAUUGCCCAGUCUCAGGUAUAUUUUUAUCAGCAGCAUGAAAACAGACUAAUACAGUCACCCUCAUAAGUUAGCAAAUUACUUAGCUGCCUCAUCUUCAUGCCCUGGGGAUCUGUGGAAGCUUUACCUUAAGAGUGAUGACUUAGGGUAUCUAGUGUAAGAAAUUUCUAAGCAGCACAGAAUUCAAGGUGUGGCCUGGCUUCUUCAAACCAGCAUACUCUCAGAUGCAGGAAUGAAUAAAUUACUUAAAAUUGGAAGUUAUAUUAAUAUUAAUAUUUACCAGGGAGGCAGAGGGUGAAAGUUUGGAAAAUUUACAGCCUAGUCCUGUGGCAAAGAAAAGAGAAACUUUUUAGGAGAGGGAUCCAAGCAGUCUACAGAACAACCACUUGUUAAAGAGAUUUGCAUGUGUAAAAGGGAGCAACUGCUUAUAGCCAAGACAAUGGGAAAAAGUCUGGAAGGCAUUUCAGAGAUCUAAUAGGCAGCACCUCUCAUCACAGGCCCAGAGGCCUAGGAAGACUAAAUGGUUUCAGGGGAGAGGCCCAGGGCCCCACUGCCCUGCUCAGCCUUAGGACAUACUCCCCCGAUCCUGAUUGCUCCAGCCACAACUCAAAGGGGCCCCAGGACAACUCAAGUCACUAUUCCAGAGGAUGCAAGCUGUAAGCAUUGAUGGCUUCCAUGUGGAGUUAAGCCUGGGAACAUCCAAAGUGCAAGAGUGAAGGAGGCUUGGCAGUCUCUGCCUAGAUUUCAGAGAAUGUAAGAGAACACCUGGCUGCUCAUGAAGAAGCCUUCUACUGGGGUGAAACUCUCACAGAGUACCUCUACUAGGUCAGUGCCAAGGGGAAAUGUAGGGUUAGAGUUUCCACACAGAAACUCUACUGGGGCAUUGGAUUCCUAAUGGCUCAGUCCUGUCCUCAAGAUAGUGAGUUCUCAUGAGAUCUGGUUGAUUAAAAGUGUGUGACACCUCUCCCCCUGACUACUGGUCUUACCAUGUGAUAUGACUGUUCCUGCUUCACCUUCAACAAUGAGUAAAAGCUCCCUGAGUCCUCCCAGAAGCCAAGCAGGUGCCAGUGCCACAUUUCCUGUAUAGCCUACAGAACUGUGAGUCAAUUAAGCCUAUUUUCUUUAUAAAUAUCCCAGUCUCAGGUACUUCCUUAUAGCAAUGUAAGAACAACCUAACAUACCACACUGGUAAUUUUCAGUUUAUUCAACAGUGUUUUUCUUUAAUACUAAUAUCUGUAUCAGAAAUAUGUCAUAAUCAUCUAAAUUGUAUGCUAAUAAAAUUAACAUUUAUUUUUACUUUG